UGAGUAACACGUGGGCAAUCUGCCCUGCACUUCGGGAUAAGCCUGGGAAACUGGGUCUAAUACCGGAUAGGACCUUUAGACGCAUGUCUUUUGGUGGAAAGCUUUUGCGGUGUGGGAUGGGCCCGCGGCCUAUCAGCUUGUUGGUGGGGUGAUGGCCUACCAAGGCGACGACGGGUAGCCGGCCUGAGAGGGUGUCCGGCCACACUGGGACUGAGAUACGGCCCAGACUCCUACGGGAGGCAGCAGUGGGGAAUAUUGCACAAUGGGCGCAAGCCUGAUGCAGCGACGCCGCGUGGGGGAUGACGGCCUUCGGGUUGUAAACCUCUUUCACCAUCGACGAAGGUCCGGGUUUUCUCGGAUUGACGGUAGGUGGAGAAGAAGCACCGGCCAACUACGUGCCAGCAGCCGCGGUAAUACGUAGGGUGCGAGCGUUGUCCGGAAUUACUGGGCGUAAAGAGCUCGUAGGUGGUUUGUCGCGUUGUUCGUGAAAUCUCACGGCUUAACUGUGAGCGUGCGGGCGAUACGGGCAGACUAGAGUACUGCAGGGGAGACUGGAAUUCCUGGUGUAGCGGUGGAAUGCGCAGAUAUCAGGAGGAACACCGGUGGCGAAGGCGGGUCUCUGGGCAGUAACUGACGCUGAGGAGCGAAAGCGUGGGGGAGCGAACAGGAUUAGAUACCCUGGUAGUCCACGCCGUAAACGGGUGGGUACUAGGUGUGGGGUUUCCUUCCUUGGGGAUCCGUGCCGUAGCUAACGCAUUUAAGUACCCCCGCCUGGGGGAGUACGGGCCGCAAGGGNUAAAACUCAAAAGGAAUUUGACGGGGGGGCCCGCACAA
rnacentral:rRNA from 1 species